CCACCCAGUUGUGUUCUCAGCCUCUUUCUUCCUGCUUAGCAUCACAUUCUCUAAACGGGAGACAGAAUCCUUCCCCAGGGAAGGGAGCGGCUGAUCACCUUGGCACUAGCCGAAUGUGAUGCCAAGUGGAGAGUUAGUUGCAAGUGCUACUAAGGUUCAGGCAGGCCUGGAUUUCUUCCACGAGGUUCAUUCAAAGCCGAGGGUUCUGUUUCACUGAUGACAUCUGUUGCGUGUCUGCUGUACUGGGUGCUGGGAUACUGUCAUGAAUCCAACACUGGAAGUUUAAGAGAACAGAAGGAACCUGAGAUGCCAUGAGAUGAGCACAGAACUCUGAUCAGUGGCAUGGCUUUGUCCUUUUCCAGGAAGCUGUGACAUCAGCGUUCUCAGCCCUGACUGCACAUUCAGUAAAUAGCUGGAGAGCUUCAAGACCACACGGGACUCCAUAAGAUUCCAUUAUAUGCUGGGAGUGGAAGAAAGUACCCUAUACAUACGAGACAUUCAAUCUACUACUGAACUACAACCCAGCCCUAGGCCCUUUCUUCCUAAAGAGAAGACUGUGGUGGGAAUGGGCAUGUGGGCAGGAUUUGGAGACUUGGAUUCCUCAGAGCCAUUGUUGUUUGUAAACACUAAUAAACUUAGAUCAAGACCUGA